rnacentral:lncRNA from 1 species
UUGAUAAGUUCAAGACAAGGAACCGAGGAAGCUGGAAAAAAAUGAAAACAUAGGAAAAGAGGGGACAAUCGGAAAACAACACAGAGAAACUGACAACAGGAGACUACAGGGCUUGGCCAACAGCCGGGCAGCAUGUGCCUGCUCUCCUUCUACAGAGAGUUCUCAAUUGCAUCCUGUGGAUACAGAGGCCUGCCUGGAGUCAAGGACUGAAAUGUGCAGGCGCCUCUGAGUGCUGAGUGACAAGACACCCAAACAAGUUUGCAAGCACUUGAAAAGUCCUUGCUGGAAUCUUGUGUGCAAUCAGCUAUUCAGACCUUGGAGAACCAAACCAAGGUGGCACAUCAUGACAGCACCCCCCCCCCCUGAGCCCCCAGUCCCAGCACAGCCCAAAGGACGCUGCAGCCCCAUUGCGCUCUAAACCCAACUGCUGUAUAGAGCCACCCGCGCCACAGGGAGAGGAAGAAACGCGCGUCCACAUGUCCCCAUGCAAGCAGCAUGAGAGACCGGCUGGGUGUGGGAGAGGUGCACAACGCGCAACGCACGCCCAGCGGCACCCUCGUGUCCCCAGUCCCAUCCCUCGUCGCGAGCCCCCCGGGUACCCGAGGCCCCCAGCCUCACCAGGCCGCCGGGUAACUUUCCAAGUGCGCAGCUCGUCCCCUCCGCGCGGCCG